rnacentral:lncRNA from 1 species
GAUGGUUUGCAGCCAGGCGUAUGUGGAGGGGAGGAAACGAGACUGAGUAAGAAAUGAAGUGCUGACACAGAGAGCCCUCCGUGGCCUCCGGAUGACCUGUGAAGCGCACCAGUUCCUGUAACAAACACCGCGGAAUGUGCUCACACGAGGAGCGAGUUGUGGAGAGGAGCAUGGGGUUGAGUGAAGUCAGCAGAAUUAAGAGUGGUGCCAACCGUCCGUCCAUGCCACUGUCCAUCCCGGAAACCCUGGGGAGAUCAGGCAGAGAGGAUAGAAGGAAGCGGCGACUGAAUUCCCUUGAUUGCUUGCUAUGCCCACAGUAACAAAUGGACUUUGUCUCAAGAAUGAAGAAUGGACUCCAUCAGGGAAAUCAGCUCUGGGCAGGACUAGAGAAUGGCAGCGGAAAUAUCCCCAGAAGCAUGCCAUAUCCCCAGCUCAGAGAUGGACAAAUGGAGGCAUGGCCAAGCAGAGAGACCUAUAAUCCUACAGCAUGCACAAGAGAAGAUCAAGUCACUGCUCACAAAAUCAUAAAUCAAAGCCCUGAGGCCUGUCAGGACCUACCCACCUGUAUACCAGACCCCGGGGAUACCAGAGCUUCAGAUCCUUAUAUGAAAUGCUAUAGUAGCUGA